AAAUAUAACAGACACUUUUUUCCUGCUUUUUCAGAUGCCUCGGGGGGAGAGGAGGAGAGAGAACUGGAGAAAGAGGAGGAGAAACAGCCCACAGGAGAAGAAAGGAAAGAAGAGGAAACAGGAACCCGUUCCGGCUAAGAAGAAGACUGCACUGAAAUCCCAGGAGUGAUUUAUGGCUCAGGAGAAGAAAGUUGAUGAGGGCGAGAAAAAGACCAAGAACAAGAGAUAGGUAGAGGAGCAGCUGAAGCUUGAGGUGACAUACAUUGGGGAGGGAACACCAGGGAGACUGAAAGCCCUCCUAGGGAAAGGUGGGCACUCAUUUACUCCCCCUCAGGGUUUUAACCCCAGUUUGGCUUUGCCAGCGCUGCGCUUCCUGCUUCUGGACUGGAAUUGGAGGGACCAGAAGCUUCGCAUGAUGGUGGACAUCCUUGAUGUCCAAACUGAUUUGCUGAAGCUGCUGGAUACGGGCAUCUUGAAAGGCUGUAGAGAAGGAAAAGUCCAAUUGGGACUCUUCUGACACACAAACACACACCCAACCAUUUCGAACUGGACCUCUUCUGCUCUCAGACAAACACACACACCACAUUUAUUGUAGUAAACAAAAACUGAAACAAAAAUUGGGGAAACAAUUGCAAAACAAACUGCAAAACACACUAAAACCAAAUAAAAUAAAUAACAAUUAUUUAUGUUUUGUUUAAUUUUUUUAUUCUGAAGUUUGAGCAAAAAUCGAAUAUUUUUGUUGUUGUUGACGUUUAGUUUUGAUUUAAAUUUGGUUGAGAUGUCAACUAAAGUGAUUUCAACGUGAAAUCAAUAACAAAUGUCACCAUGUCAUUGGAGUUCAGUAAAAGUUGGUGAAAAAAGAUUAAAUGCCCUUUCUAAUUCCAUUUUGCAAAUCCAAUCAGUUUUCACCUUGAUUCAACGUCAUCAGAUUGAUUUUUUGGGUUGAAAUGACGUGGAAACAAUGCUGAUUCAACCAGUUUUUGCCUAGUGGGUAGCAUGUGCAUCACUAUCACUAGCUAAUGUAUCACCAGCUAACAGGGAAGAAAUCAGAGGGCGAGCGAGGAGCGUGACUGGGCCAAGCUAGAACGUCUUGUGAAGUUGCUGGAGCCAUUCGCAAUCCACACAACCAACUUGCUGACCAGUGACUGGGCCAAGCUAGAGCAGCUUCAAACUGUCUGAUUUGGUGCCGUGUCUUCUCAACCUUGAGGCACACUUGCAGUCAUCUACUGUGUCAAAACAGUUAGCACAGGUCCUCCUGAAAUCACUGUUUGAGCUCUUUGCAUGCAUACUGAAUCCUCUGGCAGCCAACUUCCAUCCAUCCCCUUCAGCAGCUUGCCUGAUAGACCCAUGUAUAUCUCUGGCACUUCGCUCUACAGAGAUGGAGCCACUGAUGAGGGAAGCGGAGUCAUUUGUACUUCAACAAAUCAGAGAGUACAGCUGUGGAGCAGCAGGACCCCAAGGAAAAGGGAGAUACCUAGUCAGUCAACUAAAUGUAUUCAACUGAAAUGUGUCUUCCGCAUUUAACCCAACCCUCUGAAUCCGAGAUGUGCAGGGUGCUGCCUUACUUGACAUCCACGUCAUCGAAGAUGCCAGCACGAUGAAUCCAGUAAACAUCACGACCACAGUUCUUCAGAAAUAUAGCCUUGCAUCAAAGAUUGUGUCUGAGGUCACUGUCCAGCUGGAGGGUCAACCUGGCAGGGCAUUAAGUGCCCGGUGUCAGAUGCGGAAAUACCUGAAGGGGGUAAGGGGGGGGCAUGUUUACAGAGUCACCUCUCCAGUUCUGGCAGACAAGGAUGACUCUUUAUCCAAAGCUGUGCCCUGUGGAGCUGGAUCUGGUUUCUGCCCUUGCAUCCCAAGUGUUUGUGGAGAGAAUAUUCUCUGUCUGUGGACAACUGUCAUCCGGCUUGAGAACCAGCUCUCUGGAACACAGUCUUAUUGAAGAUAAACCAUCAAAUCUUGUUUGGUUGAACAGAAACAAUCACACACGUACAAGCUGGCUGACUGGCUGGCUGUGAACUGAUAGAUCUGUGAAUAAGUGUUGUAUGGCUUAUGUUUCUUCUGUUGUUGCAUCUGUUUUUAUUAACCUUAUUUGAAGUCAGUGAUACUUGUUUAAUAUUACAGAAACAUAACAGGUCAAAUAUGCCAUGACUUAAUUUGUAAUUUUUUCCUCUCUCUUUCUGUCAGAUAAAGGGAAAGUUACUUGAUUCUUCUUACAUCUAAAUGAAAGGAUUGGAUUGGUUUAAACAUGAGUAUUUCUCCCGAGUGGCGCAGCGGUCUACUGCAUCUCAAUGCAAGAUAUGUCACUACAGU